rnacentral:rRNA from 1 species
UACGGAGGGGGGCUAGCGUUGUUCGGAAUUACUGGGCGUAAAGCGCGCGUAGGCGGCUUUGUAAGUCAGAGGUGAAAGCCUGGAGCUCAACUCCAGAACUGCCUUUGAGACUGCAUCGCUAGAAUCAUGGAGAGGUUAGUGGAACUCCGGGAGUAGCGGUGAAAUGCGUAGAGACCCGGAGGAACACCAGUGGCGAAGGCGGCGUCCUGGCCUGCGACUGACGCUGUGGCGCGAAAGCUAGGGGAGCGAACGGG